AAUUCUCAGAGGGCAGGGAGGAGAGGAAGAACCAAGAAGCGACUCAGGAGUUCAGAUCCUAUGGUAACCAAAGGUCCUGACAGACUGAGGCAGCAUCGUCCAACAGAAACACCAUGCAAGCCACAAACACAGGUCACACAUGUUAUUUACCUUUCCUGGUGUUUGGACCAGCCGUCUUUCAAGGGCUCAACAGCCAUGUUGGCUAGCGGCUUCCAUACUAGCCAUGGCAGGACCGGGUUUUCUUUCAGAGGUUGAGGUUGCCCCCUGCCCCUCUCCCGGAACCAGAGAGCUUCCAGAGGCCACGAUCUUAGCAACACAGUGAGGCAAUCCAGUCUCCAAGUAGAUAUUCGUAAUUUAGAGAACAAGAUGCCCAUUUCAAGGGGCCCCCGUCCCAUCCAACGCAGCGUCCGCUCCUGGGCACAUAAACAAAGCAGGCUGCGGGUUGUCCAUUGGGUCCUUUUCCGAGAGGUGGACCUCAAACGUUCCACGCCACACCCCUCGAAAGGAAGAAAGUUCUAAAUCCUCAGGGCGUACAUUACGCUAACCCCACCCUGCACACGGACUUUCCCCCCGCCGUCAGCGAAUUCCACCUGGCCUACACACACCCUGCUUCUCCGCAGAAGCUUGCUGUGCUCAUUGCUCGCCCGACUCGAGACUGAAGACCCAAGAGGCCCUCAGACCUGGCCCUGUGUGCCAUCGUCGGUUCACCAGCCCUUCAGCCACAUCUGCUUGCUGCUAGACAGAGGUCGCGCUCAGUGGAGCGGAGAGCCUCAGUUCAGUUGAUGAAGUCCCAAGCCUGAGGGACACAUUCCUGGUUAAGGUACCAGACAUAGGAGAGGGGCCCUUGUUGGAAACUUAUAACCACUUCCCAGGCGGCACUAGUGGUAAAGAACACGCCUGCCAGUGCAGCAGACAUAAGAGACUUGGGUUUGAUCCCUGGGUCCAGAAGACCCCCUGGAGGAGGGCAUGGCAACCCAGUUCAGUAUUCUUGGCUGGAGAAUCCCAUGGACAGAGGAGCCUGGUGGGCUACAGUCCAUAAGGUUGCAAAGAGUCAGACACCACCGAAGCAAAUGAGCACGCUCAGUGAGCGGGACUCUCCCUCGCUUGUACCUGUUCUGCCAGGAUACAUCUCCUGAAAUCUACUCAUCACUGUUCACAGGUCCUGCAGGGCCUUGGAUGGAAAAAGACAGGAAAACGGCUGAGGCUAAGACCAGCUAAGGGGGAUCGCAGUUUCCAGUUCAAGAUGGCGGAGUAGAAGGACACACGUUCAUCUCCUCCUGCCAGAGCAGUCGCUGACAGUCAUCAACAGGAGGACGCUGGAACCCACAGAAACAACACAACAAAAAAAGACCAGCUCAGGAAAAGAAAUUCCAAAAGUUUCCAAACAUUUUUUCACUGGAUAUGUUCCAGAUAAUCAUUCAGCAGAUCUAAAGGUGUUUAUUUUUUUUCUUCUUUCUAAUCUUUGAACCCCUAGUACAUGAUCUCUGACAUAUAGUAAGAUCUCCAUUAAUACAUGGAUGAAGGGACUUUCCUGGUGGGCCAGUGGUUAAGAAUCUGCCUUCCAACGCAGGGAGCAAAGGUUCGAUCACUGAUGAUCAUUGUCCAGGAACUGAGAUCCCACAUGUCGUCAGGGAACUCAGCCUUCACACUGCAACUAAAGAGGAGCCCUUGUGCUUCAGCGAAGACCCAGCACAGCCAAAAAAAAAGAAAAGGAAGCCCCGGUCCACCCAACACUGCUUGCCUACUCAGCACAAGUCACCUGAUCAGCAUCCAAGACUUCACUUUUCUCUGUGUAAGGAAACAACCCUGCUUUACCCAAUCAGCAAGUGCCCAGUUUCGUUUUGUUUUCUAACUUUUUUAACCAUAUAGCACAGGAAUUUUUAUUCAAUAUGUUGUAAUUAACUAUGUUCAGUCGCUCAGUCAUGGCCAACUCUUUGCAACCCCAAUAGGCAGACUGUAGCCUGCCAGUCUCCUCUGUC
ensembl:lncRNA